CCUACGGGUGGCAGCAGUGGGGGAUAUUGCACAAUGGGGGAAACCCUGAUGCAGCGACGCCGCGUGUGGGAAGACGGUCCUCUGGAUUGUAAACCACUGUCCCCAGGGACGAAGAUGACGGUACCUGGGGAGGAAGCUCCGGCUAACUACGUGCCAGCAGCCGCGGUAAUACGUAGGGAGCGAGCGUUGUCCGGAAUUACUGGGUGUAAAGGGAGCGGAGGCGGGGAUGCAAGUUGGGUGUAAAAACUACCGGCUCAACUGGUAGUCGCACUCAACACUGCAGCUCUUGAGUGAAGUAGAGGCAGGCGGAAUUCCGAGUGGAGCGGUGAAAUACGUAGAUAUUAGGAGGAACACGAGUGGCGAAGGCGACCUGCUGGGCUUUUACUGACGCUGAGGCUCGAAAGUGUGGGGAGCAAACAGGAUUAGAUACCCCUGUAGUC
rnacentral:rRNA from 1 species